rnacentral:rRNA from 1 species
AAUUUUCUGCAAUGGGCGAAAGCCUGACAAAGCAAUACCGCUUGAGGGAUGAAGGCCUAUGGGUUGUAAACCUCUUUUCUCAAGGAGGAAGAUCUGACGUUACUUGAGGAAUAAGCAUCCGCUAACUACUGUGCCAGCAGCCGCGGUAAUUCAGGGGAUGCAAGUGUUUUCCGGAAUUAUUGGGGGUAAAGCGCCUGCAGGUGGAUAUUUAAGUGUUUUGUUAAAUCUUUAAGCUCAACUUAAAAAAUGCAAAAGAAACUAAUUAUCUAGAGUAUGGUAGAGGUAAAGGGGGUUUCCAGUGGAGCGGUGAAAUGCGUAGAGAUUGGAAAGAACACCAAGGGCGAAGGCACUUUACUGGGCCAGCACUGACCGUGAGGGGCGAAAGCUAGGGGAACCAACCAGAAUAGAAACCCUGGUAAUCCUAGCAGUAAACGAUGGAUUGCUAGAUGUUGACACAAUUUAUAGUGCAGC